UACGUAGGGUGCGAGCGUUAAUCGGAAUUACUGGGCGUAAAGCGUGCGCAGGCGGUUUUGUAAGCCAGAUGUGAAAGCCCCGGGCUUAACCUGGGAAUGGCAUUUGGGACUGCAAGGCUUGAGUGCGGCAGAGGAGACUGGAAUUCCUGGUGUAGCAGUGAAAUGCGUAGAUAUCGUGAGGAAGACCAGUGGCGAAGGCGGGUCUCUGGACAGUUCCUGACGCUGAGGCGCGAAGGCCAGGGGAGCAAACGGG
rnacentral:rRNA from 1 species